UACGGGGGGGGCAAGCGUUGUUCGGAAUUACUGGGCGUAAAGGGCUCGUAGGCGGCCAACUAAGUCGGACGUGAAAUCCCCAGGCUCAACCUGGGAACUGCGUCCGAUACUGGAUGGCUUGAAUCCGGGAGAGGGAUGUGGAAUUCCAGGUGUAGCGGUGAAAUGCGUAGAUAUCUGGAGGAACAUCGGUGGCGAAGGCGGCAUCCUGGACCGGUAUUGACGCUGAGGCGCGAAAGCCAGGGGAGCAAACGGG
rnacentral:rRNA from 1 species